rnacentral:misc_RNA from 1 species
UCAGCAGCACGAAGCAAGG